rnacentral:lncRNA from 1 species
GUCUUCUCUUGGUCUUCUUCGGCCAUGAGGAUUUGAUGAUACUCUGAGAAUGCAUCUAAGAAGCUGUACAGCUUAUGUCCGGAUGUGCUAUCCACAAGAUUGUCAAUCUUGGGUAGCGGGUAGCUGUCUUUAGUGCACACCUUAUUGAGAUCUGUGAAGUCGAUGCAAACCCUCCAUUUACCACUGGCCUUCUUUACAAGAACAACAUUAGCCAGCCAAUCGAGGUAUUGGACCUCCCUUAUGAACCC